rnacentral:lncRNA from 1 species
GGUGAAUCCCUUGUGUAAACAAGGAUGAGCUUCAAGGGUAAAGAAUCACUACAUCUUUACUUCUCUUUAAUUUUGUUAAAGAGUUUAUUUUGGUUCACCAUAUACUAGGCUUUGAAAGUCAUGGGUUUUAUGAAUUGUUUUUGGAUGCAUGCCUACUUUAAAGUGUUGAUAGCUUGCAUGUGUAUUCAAAUGUUCAUACUUGUUCUUAGCUAGGACAAAAUUUUUCCUUCAGUUUGCAUACUUUGUUUCUAAUUUGAUUUGGAAAGCCAUGUAUCUCAAUAGUAGUAGAUAUGGGUAGAAAUGAGCAUGCGUUUUGGAACUAAAAUUUUGGAAAAUUUUAGUUGGGGAUUUUCGGCUAAAAUGGGAAGUGUGGAUUUUUGGGCUUCUAUUGUCUUGUUACUUGAGAAUUAAGUUGAAAUAAGGACCCCUAAGGUAGCUUCAUAGUUGAUAGUUUUGUUAACCUUGUUACAAUGAUUUUAAAAUGAGUUGUGUGAACAAAAAUGUGCAUGGAACUUUCAUGGGUUUUCUAUGAAUGUUCUCAUUGUUCUUCAUGAGUUCAAGAAAAGUGUUUGGAUUUGAUACACAAAUGUUGUGGUCAACUUGAUGGUGUAUGUUUAUGUGCAUUGUGUUCACACUACACCAUAUCCUCGUACUUUUGAACUUUGAAAAUUUGCAAUUUUUCAAUUUUAAAGUAUGAAUUUUGAAAUUUUUGAAAUUUUUUAAAACUUUGAAAUUUUGAAGUUUGAAUCUUGAAAUUUUGAAUUUUGAGAAUUGAAAUUUCACCAAAAUUUUCACUCAUGCUCACCCCGCCAAAGCUAGCCACCCUUUAAAGAAAGGGUCUUUUGUCUUUUGGGCAUUUCUUGCAAUUACAUGAAGUUGUGUACUUUUGUGUAUUUGCGUUUUGGUCCAAAAGUUUAUGCUUUCACAUUUAGGUCCUCAUUCGCUACAGGGCAAAUAGUUUAGUUCCUUUUUAAUGAAAUUUUACAUGGUCAUGAAUAUUUUGGAUCCUUGUUGUAAUAACUUAAAAGUUUGAACUUUUGAGUAUUUACAUUUUUACCUCGAAAGUUUAUAAAUUUGCAUUUAGGUCCUCAUUCGCUAAAAAGGAUGAAAUUGUUUUGUUCAUUUCAUGAGACUUAAAAUAUGCAUGAGCCUUAUGGAUCAUGUUGUGAUUAUGUGAAGAUAUGAACUCUCAUUAUAUUACAUUUGAAUCCAAAAGUUUGUCUAUUUGCUUUAUGACCUAAACGUUAGUGAAAAUUGCAUUUUGACGUAGACUUCUUAAAAUGAUAGAUUGUUUCUCCUUUGAUGAAAAUUGCAUUUUGACCUAGACUCCUUAAAUCCAUGAGUCCAAAAACCAAUUAAUUUAUUGUAUUCUAGUCUAAUUGAUUAAUAGGAUUAGUUAAUUAAUGAAAGGGUGAUUCUUAACCUAAGCCACCAUAAUUGAGCUAUUUGAUUAGCCAUCUAUAAAAUAUUUUGAACCAUGAGAAUGUGUAGAUUAGAUUUUGCUUGUAAUAUGAUUUGAACAAAUAUGUUAUAAAAGAUCUUGUACUCUUUAUUACUUUAAAGUACUCCUUUUAUGUUUUAUUUGAUAUGCAUCAAAUUGGAGUAGUUGGGUCCAACGCCCAACAGGGUAACACGUCUUUAUGUGAUUAAACGCGUAACUAAAAUUAAUCACCCUCCUUAGAUCCAGAUCCAACACAAGGCUCGUGUUGGAUCAAAUCGAACGUUCAUAGUCAUCCUAAAGCCUAAAGCAAUUAAAUAGGCAAAUCUAGCCUUAAAACAGCCCCAUAAAGUGCAAAACUAUCAUUGGUAGUACCAUAUACUCUUGCUUCAAAGAUUGUUUUACAUAAAUAUGGAAGUAUCAUAUGCUAUUUAAUCAAUCACAUGGACCAGUAGUUGUGGUAGGACCAAAUAGUCUUAAUUAGAUUAAAAUGAAUGUUGGUAUGUGAUUAGACAUGAAAUCCUCAACCAAACCAAUAUUAAGUUAACAAGCAUGCGUGUGCUUUGAACACUCAUUCAUGGCCUUCCACCGUGGUAGGCUUCAAUCAUUUGUCACUCAUACACUAAAUUAACCUUAUCAUGGGGGAGUACAAUGUAUGUACUUACACUCAAAGAAGUUCUAUAGGCAUACAUGAUGUUGUAAAAGGUAAGCAACAAGAAUGGCCAUCAUAUUCAAGGUUAUGGUUGUCAUUAACUCUGAUGGACUUGCUUUGAUGGAUGACUAUAACAUAAAUGAGCUAAAUGACUUAACUUUGCAUAUAUUGGCACCAAUAUCAUAUCAUUGGGAGACAACAUUAUCGAUAGGCCAAAUAAGAUGAGUACUUACAAGACAUGUAAACGAGCAAGUGUACUUUCUCAUUAUUAUUAACACUAGCCACCAUCAUAUCAUUGUGAGGUGGACUUGGUAAUAGUGAGCCUCACAUACCCUACUAAAAGUUUCUUCCAAAACUCUCGAAUUCCUUUUGAGGGAUAUGGAAUUUGCCAAACUAUUGGUUGGUGCUAUUUGAUUUAUAAACCCAGAUCAAAUAGUUUAAAAUCAAUCAAUUUAUAUUCGUUAUGGUCGUUUAUUUACCGAUAUUAUCUUUUGAUAUGAACACGUUUAUCCAAAACUUGACAAAGGCUUUAGUUUCCAUACUUGGUACUAGAAUCUCGUAGAUUUUCUUAAAUGGAUUGGAUAUGUACCUUAGUUGUAACAUCCCACAUUGCCCAGGGGAGUUGAUCCUCUAUGCCUUAUAUGUAUAUUCCCAUCUCUACCUAGCAUGAGGCUUUUUAGAGGCUUUUCAUUGGCUUUCAUUGUGUGUUCCAUAAAACUCCGAAGUUAAGCGAGUUCGUGCAAGAGCAUUCCUAGGAUGGGUGACCCAUUGGGAAGUUCUGCUCGCAUGAGUUCCCAGAAACAAAAUCGUGAGGGCAUGGUCGGGGCCUAAAGCUGACAAUAUCGUGCUACGGCGAAGUCAAGCUCGGGAUGUGGUGGGGGCCCCGGUCGGGAUAUGAAAUUAAUAGUCUCAUUCUCACCGUCUUCCUAUUGAUAAUGUAUCAUUGGAAGAACAUGUUAGAAAUAUCUAACAUAUAGAGGAUAACACAACUACAUAUACAUGUGCUUAUUCCUUUGAUGAAUGAAUAAAGGAACUUAAGAAUUAAGUGCAAAGAGAUGGACACUUUAUGUGCCAUGAUGGUGCAUGAAGAAAUGAGAGUUGUCUUGAACAACCCUUGAAUGUUUGUAAUCUUGUUAAAAACAAGAUAGUUGUUAAGGGACAAUAGUCCAUCAAUAUGGAGAAUGAAUGAUGAUUUUGAAUCAUAUGGACUAAUGAUUAUUUUGAAUCAUUGAGUAUUGAAGUGUUAAACCACUUCACUAGAUGGAAACUAGGCUAGGACUUCACCUUUGUGUCCCUAUUCAAUGGUUCGCUAAGUUUAUUGAAAACUAUGGAAUGAAAAUCACCGCACGGCACCACGCUCUCCAAAUCGUUUGAUGUGCGUAACACAAUUGAAAUAAGUUUCAAGAGAGACAGUAGUUUAGGGACCGUGACCAUUGUAGUCAUAGGAGAAGUCAAAUGAAGAAGGCAAAAUAACUCCAUGGGAACAAACUUUCUUUAUGAAAGGAUGGACAUUGGACAGAGUUUGUAAGCAUUGUCUUGCAAGUGUCAAGAACACACAUUUUGAAGUUGUUGUCAAUUGUUCUUCAAAUAGUUCAAAACAAUUGGUUCUUCUACUUGCAUGUUUGAUUCUGUACAAGUAACUAUGUUUGCAAUCAUUGUAAAAGAGUGAUUAGUAAGAAGUAGAUGAUUAAUGAGUUAAGAGAAAAUGCUUCAUAUUUGAAACGUGAACAAGGAUAAAGAUCUCUGUGAAAACAUGUGACACCUAGUUCCUCAUAUGAACUAUGAAAGAAAUUGGAAAUAUAGAGAUUGUCUUUACAUUUCAAUUUGAAUAAGGAACUAAAU